GAUUCGUACAUGAAUUAUUUUACUUAAUGCAGAUGUCUGCACUGCUGAAGGUCUCUUCUGACCUUAUCUGAAUCCGUAAGCAAAAUUACUUCAGCAGAGAUUGACUCCUUACACAGGUAUGCUGCUGGAUUCUUCAUUGGCAGCUGGCUUUGGUGUGGCAGUGCUUAAGGAGAGGAGCUGACCUGGCUGACAGAAAAGCUUAGAAAAUACUGCAACAGCCAUUCCUGCAGCAGGGAGUUGGAAGAGAAGAUGAACUGAAUGAAACCAGGCAGCCACUGUAUGUGUUUACCAUCCUUAGGAGAGAAGAGCAAAUAUGGGCCAGCAAGAUGAUCACUGAGGAGUGGGGAGUCAAGACUUUGUCAGCAAGGCUGAGUACUAAGUCUGGGUGCUUUUGUGGAGUGGAACAAAAAAGCUGUUGUCAAAAUGAUGUAGCCUUGUCCUUAUCAGUACUCCUAUCAAGGUAGGGAUGGAUUUGAUUUUUCCCUCCUGGCUUACUGGCUGUGCUAUUAUUUCACACUAAGUUAACCCCUGGGAAUAUCAGAACUACCAGGAAGUUUCCAUCAGGAUUGACCUUUGAGAAUCUGUAUUUCCAACUAAAUAUGCCGCCUCUUAAAAUGUUAAUAAUUUACUCAGUAAGUGUUCUGAGAUGUCAUCAGAAAAUCAAACCUCUCGAGUGUUUCUUUUCAAAUUCCAUCACAGAAUCUCAUUACCUAUGGAACUGAAGCUGGGUGAUGUUUCCUGUGAAACACUGGAGCAGUGUCUUACCCCUACCAAAAAGGAGAGAGGGUUUUGUGGGUGCGCCGUCCCUGGAGGUGCUCAAGGCCAGGUUGGAUGGGCGCUGGGCAGCUUGAGCUGAUGGGAACUUCCAGCCCAUGGAGGGGGUUGGAACUGGGUGAUCUUUGAGGUCCCUUCCAACCCAGGUCAUUCUGUGACUUUGUGAAAAGGAUACUCUUGGCACCUAGAGAUCAGAGUGAAAGCAUAUGGCAUUCGAGCUACAGUUCACAUAUACAGUUCACAGCGUAUUAUGGUGACAGCUUGAAUCUAAUGUAUUUUUUUUCAGAUUUAAAUUGAUAUGUUUUGCAAAGCAGUCAAUAUUUUCCAUGGGACAGAAGGAUCUUUUUUUCCAGAUUACUGUGUUCUUGAGGUUAGACCAAUCACGUGUCUCCCUUCCUUCUGUUCUCCCCAUAAACAUAAGGUUCCUGCCAUGUGACAGUUACUCUGCACUAAGUAAUGGAAAACAUAUUUCUUGGGGCUGGGCCUGUCUGCUGGUACUCCUGUGCUCUUCCAUCCCUCUAAUAUAUAGAAAACUUAUUCUGCUUAUUUCCCAGCCCCCUGCCUCAGUUUUCAUUUCCUUGAUGAUUCUGAUGGUGUAUGCGUGGGGAGAAAACAAAAAGUUGAGCAGAAAUGAUUAUAAACGUUCACGCUUGACUGAUCAGGUUUUCUCUGAAUAGCUGAACUUUGGGAAACGACUUUUUGUGGGCUGUGAGCACUCAGCUGUAGAAUAGUACCUUUUAAAUUUCUUUGGAUUUGUUGAAAACCAUUCAGUUUUUAGGC